GAUGAACGCUAGCUACAGGCUUAACACAUGCAAGUCGAGGGGAAACGGCAUUUAGUGCUUGCACUGAAUGGACGUCGACCGGCGCACGGGUGAGUAACGCGUAUCCAACCUUCCCAUUACUGUGGGAUAACCUGCCGAAAGGCAGACUAAUACCGCAUAGUCUUCGAUGACGGCAUCAGAUUUGAAGUAAAGAUUUAUCGGUAAUGGAUGGGGAUGCGUCUGAUUAGCUUGUUGGCGGGGUAACGGCCCACCAAGGCGACGAUCAGUAGGGGUUCUGAGAGGAAGGUCCCCCACAUUGGAACUGAGACACGGUCCAAACUCCUACGGGAGGCAGCAGUGAGGAAUAUUGGUCAAUGGGCGCGAGCCUGAACCAGCCAAGUAGCGUGCAGGAUGACGGCCCUAUGGGUUGUAAACUGCUUUUGUAUGGGGAUAAAGUCAAUCACGUGUGAUUGUUUGCAGGUACCAUACGAAUAAGGACCGGCUAAUUCCGUGCCAGCAGCCGCGGUAAUACGGAAGGUCCGGGCGUUAUCCGGAUUUAUUGGGUUUAAAGGGAGCGUAGGCUGGAGAUUAAGUGUGUUGUGAAAUGUAGACGCUCAACGUCUGACUUGCAGCGCAUACUGGUUUCCUUGAGUACGCACAACGUUGGCGGAAUUCGUCGUGUAGCGGUGAAAUGCUUAGAUAUGACGAAGAACUCCGAUUGCGAAGGCAGCUGACGGGAGCGCAACUGACGCUUAAGCUCGAAGGUGCGGGUAUCGAACAGG
rnacentral:rRNA from 1 species